UCCUUAGGGGUGGCUUCGGCCUGAGAUGUGCAUGAUUUAAUACGCUUGUCACUAUUCGUAUUAAGCACCAGCGCAAACCCUUUGAACCUGAUCCGGUUAAUACCGGCGUAGGAAUAGGA
rnacentral:ncRNA from 1 species